rnacentral:rRNA from 1 species
GACGAACGCUGGCGGCGCGCCUAACACAUGCAAGUCGAACGGAGUCAAGAGGAGCUUGCUUUUCUUGACUUAGUGGCGAACGGGUGAGUAACGCGUGAGUAACCUGCCCUGGAGUGGGGGACAACAGUUGGAAACGACUGCUAAUACCGCAUAAGCCCACGGCCCGGCAUCGGGCUGAGGGAAAAGGAUUUAUUCGCUUCAGGAUGGACUCGCGUCCAAUUAGCUAGUUGGUGAGGUAACGGCCCACCAAGGCGACGAUUGGUAGCCGGACUGAGAGGUUGAACGGCCACAUUGGGACUGAGACACGGCCCAGACUCCUACGGGAGGCAGCAGUGGGGGAUAUUGCACAAUGGGGGAAACCCUGAUGCAGCGACGCCGCGUGGAGGAAGAAGGUUUUCGGAUUGUAAACUCCUGUCGUUAGGGACGAUAAUGACGGUACCUAACAAGAAAGCACCGGCUAACUACGUGCCAGCAGCCGCGGUAAAACGUAGGGUGCAAGCGUUGUCCGGAAUUACUGGGUGUAAAGGGAGCGCAGGCGGACCGGCAAGUUGGAAGUGAAAACUAUGGGCUCAACCCAUAAAUUGCUUUCAAAACUGCUGGGCCUUGAGUAGUGCAGAGGUAGGUGGAAUUCCCGGUGUAGCGGUGGAAUGCGUAGAUAUCGGGAGGAACACCAGUGGCGAAGGCGACCUACUGGGCACCAACUGACGCUGAGGCUCGAAAGCAUGGGUAGCAAACAGGAUUAGAUACCCUGGUAGUCCAUGCCGUAAACGAUGAUUACUAGGUGUUGGAGGAUUGACCCCUUCAGUGCCGCAGUUAACACAAUAAGUAAUCCACCUGGGGAGUACGACCGCAAGGUUGAAACUCAAAGGAAUUGACGGGGGCCCGCACAAGCAGUGGAGUAUGUGGUUUAAUUCGAAGCAACACGAAGAACCUUACCAGGUCUUGACAUCCGAUGCAUAGUGCAGAGAUGCAUGAAGUCCUUCGGGACAUCGAGACAGGUGGUGCAUGGUUGUCGUCAGCUCGUGUCGUGAGAUGUUGGGUUAAGUCCCGCAACGAGCGCAACCCUUAUUGCCAGUUACUACGUAAGAGGACUCUGGCGAGACUGCCGUUGACAAAACGGAGGAAGGUGGGGAUGACGUCAAAUCAUCAUGCCCUUUAUGACCUGGGCUACACACGUACUACAAUGGCGUUUAACAAAGAGAAGCAAGACCGCGAGGUGGAGCAAAACUCAAAAACAACGUCUCAGUUCAGAUUGCAGGCUGCAACUCGCCUGCAUGAAGUCGGAAUUGCUAGUAAUCGCGGAUCAGCAUGCCGCGGUGAAUACGUUCCCGGGCCUU